AAUCGGCAAACCAAACGAGGGACGAGGCAGCUACUACUACUGCCCAUGCAAGCAAGCAAGAAGCUUCUGGGUUUCUCCAACAGACGGGAGAGCAAAUGAUGCAUAUGGCUCAAGGUGCUGUAGACACUGUGAAGAACACGCUUGGAUUCAAUGACGACAAGUCGAAUUGAGCUUUAGCUUUUUAUUAUUAUUAUUAUUAUUAUUUUCUUUUUAUAAGUAUUGACGACAAGUCGAAUUGAAUUUUAGCUUUAUUAUUAUUAUUAUUAUUUUACCUUAAUAAAAAUGUUUCUUUUUGGGCAA